rnacentral:rRNA from 1 species
AUUGAACGCUGGCGGCAGGCCUAACACAUGCAAGUCGAACGGUAACAGGAAGCAGCUUGCUGCUUCGCUGACGAGUGGCGGACGGGUGAGUAAUGUCUGGGAAGCUGCCUGAUGGAGGGGGAUAACUACUGGAAACGGUAGCUAAUACCGCAUAAUGUCGCAAGACCAAAGAGGGGGACCUUCGGGCCUCUUGCCAUCGGAUGUGCCCAGAUGGGAUUAGCUUGUUGGUGGGGUAACGGCUCACCAAGGCGACGAUCCCUAGCUGGUCUGAGAGGAUGACCAGCCACACUGGGACUGAGACACGGUCCAGACUCCUACGGGAGGCAGCAGUGGGGAAUAUUGUACAAUGGGCGCAAGCCUGAUGCAGCCAUGCCGCGUGUAUGAAGAAGGCCUUCGGGUUGUAAAGUACUUUCAGCGGGGAGGAAGGGAGUAAAGUUAAUACCUUUGCUCAUUGACGUUACCUGCAGAAGAAGCACCGGCUAACUCCGUG